GAUGAACGCUCGCUACAGGCUUAACACAUGCAAGUCGAGGGGAAACGGCAUUAAGUGCUUGCACUUUUUGGACGUCGACCGGCGCACGGGUGAGUAACGCGUAUCCAACCUUCCCAUGACUAAGGGAUAACCUGCCGAAAGGCAGACUAAUACCGUAUGGUCUUCACUGACGGCAUCAGAUGUGAAGUAAAGAUUUAUCGGUUAUGGAUGGGGAUGCGUCUGAUUAGCUUGUUGGCGGGGUAACGGCCCACCAAGGCAACGAUCAGUAGGGGUUCUGAGAGGAAGGUCCCCCACAUUGGAACUGAGACACGGGCCAAACUCCUACGGGAGGCAGCAGUGAGGAAUAUUGGUCAAUGGGCGAGAGCCUGAACCAGCCAAGUAGCGUGCAGGAUGACGGCCCGAUGGGUUGUAAACUGCUGUUGUAUGGGGAUAAAGUCAAUCACGUGUGAUUGUUUGCAGGUACCAUACGAAUAAGGACCGGCUAAUUCCGUG
rnacentral:rRNA from 1 species